CAAUUUAAAUCUUAAUUAGUAAAGUUUUUCAUUUACAUUGAAAAUUUAUUUGUGCAAAUCAAAUUAAAUUGA
rnacentral:tRNA from 1 species